CAUGCAAGUCGUGCGAGAAAGUAUCUUCGGAUAUGAGUAGAGCGGCGGACGGGUGAGUAACGCGUAGGAAUCUACCUAGUAGAAGGGGAUAGCCCGGGGAAACCCGGAUUAAUACCGUAUACCUCCUUCGGGAGAAAGAAGGCCUCUCUUUGAAGCUUUCGCUAUUAGAUGAGCCUGCGUAAGAUUAGCUUGUUGGUGAGGUAAAGGCUCACCAAGGCGACGAUCUUUAGCUGGUCUGAGAGGACGAUCAGCCACAUUGGGACUGAGACACGGCCCAGACUCCUACGGGAGGCAGCAGUGGGGAAUAUUGGACAAUGGGCGCAAGCCUGAUCCAGCCAUACCGCGUGUGUGAAGAAGGCCUCCGGGUUGUAAAGCACUUUAAGCAGGGAGAAAAAGUUAUAAGUUAAUACCUUAUAACCGUGAUGUUACCUGCAGAAUAAGCACCGGCUAAUUCCGUGCCAGCAGCCGCGGUAAUACGGAAGGUGCAAGCGUUAAUCGGAAUUACUGGGCGUAAAGCGCGCGUAGGUGGUUUGUUAAGUUGGAUGUGAAAGCCCUGGGCUCAACCUAGGAACUGCAUCCAAAACUAACUCACUAGAGUAC
rnacentral:rRNA from 1 species